AGAGUUUGAUCCUGGCUCAGGAUGAACGCUAGCGGCAGGCUUAACACAUGCAAGUCGAGGGGCAGCAUAAUGGAUAGCAAUAUCUAUGGUGGCGACCGGCGCACGGGUGCGUAACGCGUAUGCAACCUACCUUUAACAGGGGGAUAACACUGAGAAAUUGGUACUAAUACCCCAUAAUAUCAUAGAAGGCAUCUUUUAUGGUUGAAAAUUCCGAUGGUUAGAGAUGGGCAUGCGUUGUAUUAGCUAGUUGGUGGGGUAACGGCUCACCAAGGCGACGAUACAUAGGGGGACUGAGAGGUUAACCCCCCACACUGGUACUGAGACACGGACCAGACUCCUACGGGAGGCAGCAGUGAGGAAUAUUGGUCAAUGGACGCAAGUCUGAACCAGCCAUGCCGCGUGCAGGAUGACGGCUCUAUGAGUUGUAAACUGCUUUUGUACGAGGGUAAACGCAGAUACGUGUAUCUGUCUGAAAGUAUCGUACGAAUAAGGAUCGGCUAACUCCGUGCCAGCAGCCGCGGUAAUACGGAGGAUCCAAGCGUUAUCCGGAUUUAUUGGGUUUAAAGGGUGCGUAGGCGGUUUGAUAAGUUAGAGGUGAAAUGUUGGGGCUUAACCCUGAAACUGCCUCUAAUACUGUUGAGCUAGAGAGUAGUUGCGGUAGGCGGAAUGUAUGGUGUAGCGGUGAAAUGCUUAGAGAUCAUACAGAACACCGAUUGCGAAGGCAGCUUACCAAACUAUAUCUGACGUUGAGGCACGAAAGCGUGGGGAGCAAACAGGAUUAGAUACCCUGGUAGUCCACGCAGUAAACGAUGAUAACUCGUUGUCGGCGAUACACAGUCGGUGACUAAGCGAAAGCGAUAAGUUAUCCACCUGGGGAGUACGUUCGCAAGAAUGAAACUCAAAGGAAUUGACGGGGGCCCGCACAAGCGGAGGAACAUGUG
rnacentral:rRNA from 1 species